GACAGAGGGUGCAAACGUUGCUCGGAAUCACUGGGUGUAAAGGGCGUGUAGGCGGAUAGAUAAGUCGGGCGUGAAAUCCCCAGGCUCAACCUGGGAACUGCACUCGAAACUGUUUAUCUUGAGUGCCGGAGAGGAAAGCGGAAUUCCUGGUGUAGAGGUGAAAUUCGUAGAUAUCAGGAGGAACACCAGUGGCGAAGGCGGCUUUCUGGACGGUAACUGACGCUGAGACGCGAAAGCGUGGGGAGCAAACAGG
rnacentral:rRNA from 1 species